AGGGGCGUCGGUUAACUGGUAAACCUUCGGAUUCCAAAUCCGAGACUGCAGGUUCGAGUCCUGCCGCCCCUG
rnacentral:tRNA from 1 species